AUUGAACGCUGGCGGCAGGCCUAACACAUGCAAGUCGAGCGAAGCGGGGACGGGUGAGUAAAAAGUGGAUAACCUCCUAUAAGACUGGGAUAACUUCGGGAAAACGUAGCUAAACCGGAUCCUUAUAGAUUGAUCCACGCUGCAUUAGCUAGUUGGUAAGGUAACGGCUUACAAAGGCAUCGAUGCCUAGCCGACCUGAAAGGGUGGUCGGCCACACGGGAACUGAGACACGGCCCAGACUCCGACGGGAGGCAGCAGUAGGGAAUAUUCCGCAAUGGGCGAAAGCCUGACGGAGCGACGCCGCGUGAGUGAUGAAGGUCUUCGGAUCGUAAAACUCUGUUAUUAGGGAAGCGGUACCUAAUCAGAAAGCCACGGCUAACUACGUGCCAGCAGCCGCGGUAAUAC
rnacentral:rRNA from 1 species